rnacentral:rRNA from 1 species
AGUGAACGCUGGCGGCAGGCCUAACACAUGCAAGUCGAGCGGCAGCGCGUCCGACCACCCUCGGGUGGUCGGAUGGCGGCGAGCGGCGGACGGGUGAGGAAUGCAUCGGAAUCUGCCUCGUUGUGGGGGAUAACGUAGGGAAACUUACGCUAAUACCGCAUACGACCUACGGGGGAAAGUCGGGGACCGCAAGGCCUGACGCGAUUGGAUGAGCCCAUGUUCGAUUAGCUAGUUGGCGGGGUAAAGGCCCACCAAGGCGACGAUCGAUAGCUGGUCUGAGAGGAUGAUCAGCCACACUGGAACUGAGACACGGUCCAGACUCCUACGGGAGGCAGCAGUAGGGAAUAUUGGACAAUGGGGGCGAACCCUGAUCCAGCCAUGCCGCGUGAGUGAAGAAGGCCCUCGGGUUGUAAAGCUCUUUUGUCCGGAAAGAAAGCAUCUGGUUAAUACCCGGGUGUUCUGACGGUACCGGAAGAAUAAGCACCGGCUAACUUCGUGCCAGCA